GAUGAACGCUAGCGGCAGGGCUAAUACAUGCAAGUCGAACGGUAACAUGAGUAUCAAUACUUGAUGACGAGUGGCGCACGGGUGCGUAAGGAGUAUGCAAUCUACCUUUAACCGGUGAAUAGCGCGCAGCAAUUCGGAUUAAUACACCCUCGUAUGAUGAGGCGGCAUCUCCUUAUCAUUAAAGUUCCGACAGUUACAGAGUAGCAUGCGUGACAUCGGCUAGUUGGUAAGGUAACGGCUUACCAAGGCAACGAUGAGGAGGGGUUCUGAUAGGAUUAACCCCCACACUGGAACUGAGACAGGGACCAGACUCCUACUGAAGUCAGCAGUAAGGAAUAUUGUACAAUGGUGCCAACACUGAUCCAGCCAUGCCGCGUUAAGGAUGAAAGCCCUAUGGUUUGUAAACUUCUUUUGUACGGGAAAAAACCUUCUUUCGUGUAAGAAGCUGAUUGUACUGUAAGAAUAAGGAUCGGCUAACUCCGUGCCAGCAGCCGCGGUAACAC
rnacentral:rRNA from 1 species